UGGGGAAUUUUGCACAAUGGGGGAAACCCUGAUGCAGCGACGCCGCGUGAUUUAGAAGGCCUUCGGGUUGUAAAAAUCUUUUCUAUGGGAAGAAAAUGACAGUACCAUAGGAAUAAGGACCGGCUAUUUACGUGCCAGCAGCCGCGGUAAUACGUAAGGUCCGAGCGUUGUCCGGAAUCAUUGGGCGUAAAGGGUACGUAGGCGGGUAAGCAAGUUAGAAGUGAAAUCCUAUAGCUCAACUAUAGUAAGCUUUUAAAACUGCUCAUCUUGAGGUAUGGAAGGGAAAGUGGAAUUCCUAGUGUAGCGGUGAAAUGCGCAGAUAUUAGGAGGAAUACCGGUGGCGAAGGCGACUUUCUGGCCAUAACCUGACGCUGAGGUACGAAAGCGUGGGUAGCAAACAGG
rnacentral:rRNA from 1 species